rnacentral:rRNA from 1 species
ACUCCUACGGGAGGCAGCAGUGGGGAAUAUUGCACAAUGGGCAGCCAAGCCUGAUGCAGCCAUGCCGCGUGUAUGAAGAAGGCCUUCGGGUUGAUAAAGUACUUUCAGCAGUGAGGAGUGGUAUGUUAAUAGCAUACUUCAUUUGACGUUAGCUGCAGAAGAAGCACCGGCUAACUCCGUGCCAGCAGCCGCGGUAAUACGGAGGGUGCGAGCGUUAAUCGGAAUUACUGGGCGUAAAGCGCAUGCAGGUGGUUUGUUAAGUCAGAUGUGAAAGCCCGGGGCUCAACCUCGGAAUUGCAUUUGAAACUGGCAAAGCUAGAGUACUGUAGAGGGGGGUAGAAUUUCAGGUGUAGCGGUGAAAUGCGUAGAGAUCUGAA